GGCCGAUUUUAGAACGUUGAUAGAAAUCGGGUUGGAUUUAAACACCGAAAUUACCGCUGUUAAUGGUCUUCCUCGGACACAGGCGCCAAGUUUUCCCGCCAUUUUGCAAAAUGAUUUUUGAGCCUUUUCCAGGUGCUUUUAGGCUUGUUAAGCAAAUGGAAUGUUUCAUUUCUUGAGUAUCCUUGAAAGUGGCAGUGUUCCUUAGGCCAUCCUACCUUACUCGCAUCCCAAGCACUGAAGAAGUUUGCCUCACACAUUCAACAGGCAAAUUUACCACAUCUCUGCUUGUUUGCUAUUCUGAAUGCUCUCAUACUUUGCAUCACCUUUCCGAAUGUAAGUUAGCAUGGAAAGUAAUGGAAAAGGUUUAUCAAUUAAUGGAGUUCCACUUCCCUUUGA